AACGAACGCUGGCGGCGUGCCUAACACAUGUAAGUCGAACGUGAUUGAGGUGCUUGCACCUCAUGAAAGUGGCGCACGGGUGAGUAACGCGUAGAUAAUCUGCCUGGUGAUUUGGGAUAACACUUCGAAAGGGGUGCUAAUACCGGAUAAGCCCACGAGCUCUUUGGAGCAUGCGGGAAAAGGAGGGGACCUUCGGGCCUUCCGUCAUCAGAUGAGUCUGCGUACCAUUAGCUAGUUGGUAGGGUAAAGGCCUACCAAGGCGACGAUGGUUAGCUGGUCUGAGAGGACGAUCAGCCACACUGGAACUGAGACACGGUCCAGACUCCUACGGGAGGCAGCAGUGGGGAAUUUUGCGCAAUGGGGGAAACCCUGACGCAGCAACGCCGCGUGAGUGAUGAAGGCCCUUGGGUCGUAAAGCUCUGACAGAGGGAAAGAAAUGUGGGUGGCUAAUAUCCAUUCCACUUGACGGUAACCUCAAAGGAAGCACCGGCUAACUCCGUGCCAGCAGCCGCCGUAA
rnacentral:rRNA from 1 species